ACUCAUCUUCAUCAUCUUCUUAUAUAUGCUACACUCAACAUUGUGAAACUCUUGCAUUUGGGUUUAUUACAUUUUUUUAUAUCUUAAAAAACUGCAUUCUUCUGUCCAAAGGGUUGUCAUUGUUGUUGGGUUCAUAAACUAUGACUACAUCAAGACGUGUAGCAGACAGGAAAGUGGCAAGGUUUGAAGGGAAACUUACAAAGAAAGGAUCAGGAAAGAAGGGUUUUAACUUCUCAACUGGCCUAGCUCUGAUUGGCUUUUGUGUCUUUGUUGUUGUUGGAUCAUGUCUGUUUAUGAUCAUUAGGACAGCUACAAAUCGUGGGAAUGUGGUCUAAAGCAGGAGUGUUUAUGAAGAGUUUAUAUUAUCAGAAGUUAGUAUGUAGAAAACAAAAUACUAUGUAGUUCAUAAUUGAUCAGCUGUAUGUUGAUGGAAUUAUAUGAUAACUUUGCUUUAAUAAUA